GCGACAGGCUUAACACAUGCAAGUUGAGGGGCAGCACAGGUAGCAAUACCGGGUGGCGACCGGCGCACGGGUGAGUAACGCGUAUGCAACUUGCCUAUCAGAGGGGGAUAACCCGGCGAAAGUCGGACUAAUACCGCAUGAAGCAGGGGCCCCGCAUGGGGAUAUUUGCUAAAGAUUCAUCGCUGAUAGAUAGGCAUGCGUUCCAUUAGGCAGUUGGCGGGGUAACGGCCCACCAAACCGACGAUGGAUAGGGGUUCUGAGAGGAAGGUCCCCCACAUUGGUACUGAGACACGGACCAAACUCCUACGGGAGGCAGCAGUGAGGAAUAUUGGUCAAUGGGCGCGAGCCUGAACCAGCCAAGUCGCGUGAGGGAUGAAGGUUCUAUGGAUCGUAAACCUCUUUUAUAAGGGAAUAAAGUGCGGGACGUGUCCCGUUUUGUAUGUACCUUAUGAAUAAGGAUCGGCUAACUCCGUGCCAGCAGCCGCGGUAAUACGGAGGAUCCGAGCGUUAUCCGGAUUUAUUGGGUUUAAAGGGUGCGUAGGCGGCCUUUUAAGUCAGCGGUGAAAGUCUGUGGCUCAACCAUAGAAUUGCCGUUGAAACUGGGAGGCUUGAGUAUGUUUGAGGCAGGCGGAAUGCGUGGUGUAGCGGUGAAAUGCAUAGAUAUCACGCAGAACCCCGAUUGCGAAGGCAGCCUGCCAAGCCAUUACUGACGCUGAUGCACGAAAGCGUGGGGAUCAAACAGGAUUAGAUACCCUGGUAGUCCACGCAGUAAACGAUGAUCACUAGCUGUUUGCGAUACAUUGUAAGCGGCACAGCGAAAGCGUUAAGUGAUCCACCUGGGGAGUACGCCGGCAACGGUGAAACUCAAAGGAAUUGACGGGGGCCCGCACAAGCGGAGGAACAUGUGGUUUAAUUCGAUGAUACGCGAGGAACCUUACCCGGGUUUGAACGCAUUCGGACCGAGGUGGAAACACCUUUUCUAGCAAUAGCCGUUUGCGAGGUGCUGCAUGGUUGUCGUCAGCUCGUGCCGUGAGGUGUCGGCUUAAGUGCCAUAACGAGCGCAACCCUUGCCACUAGUUACUAACAGGUAAAGCUGAGGACUCUGGUGGGACUGCCAGCGUAAGCUGCGAGGAAGGCGGGGAUGACGUCAAAUCAGCACGGCCCUUACAUCCGGGGCGACACACGUGUUACAAUGGCGUGGACAAAGGGAAGCCACCUGGCGACAGGGAGCGAAUCCCCAAACCACGUCUCAGUUCGGAUCGGAGUCUGCAACCCGACUCCGUGAAGCUGGAUUCGCUAGUAAUCGCGCAUCAGCCAUGGCGCGGUGAAUACGUUCCCGGGCCUUGUACACACCGCCCGUCAAGCCAUGGGAGCCGGGGGUACCUGAAGUCCGUAACCGCGAGGAUCGGCCUAGGGUAAAACUGGUGACUGGGGCUAAGUCAU
rnacentral:rRNA from 1 species